rnacentral:lncRNA from 1 species
UAGAUGGAAUCUAUCGAUCUUGAUAGGUUAAGAGAGAUCCUAUGUGAUUUAUGAGACUGAGUUCGUAAAUCCUCGACCGGGGUAGUAUGUACAGUGGAAAAGGAGUUUUCCAUUCUCAAACUUAAGUCGAAUAAAUCUUGACAUAUGACAGACGAUGGGGUUUGACGAGUUAUCCAUGACCUCCGUCCUGUAGGGAUCCACGAUAGAAGGACUGUAUUAUAUACUAACUGCACCUAGAGGUUCAUCAUUCCAUUCUGCUAGGUAGCCACUACAUGCUGCUAGGUGUCACUGGUGGAUGGUGAGACUCACAGGGACUAUCUUGAUGAUUGAUGAUCCCUAGUGAGUUGAGUUGGAAUUGUUCCAACCCAUUGAAAGGAGUUUUCAAUGAUAUUGUGAUAGAGAUCGCAGUAUAUCUCACUACCAGACAGAAUAGAACCUAUGGGGUCA